UAUAUAUAUAUAUAUAUUUCAUUCUUGUUUUUAACUAAAGCCAACAUUGAAACUGCAGUGUAAACAGAUGAACUCGGUGAAUGUGCUUCCAUAAAACCUUUGUUUUAUAAAAUAAUAAAAAUAAAAUAAAAACAAUACAAUUUUUGUAAUGUACUGUUUUCAAAAGCGAGUUCAACAAAAACUUGCAGCAUUCAGAUAUGGCAGUGAUGGAAGGACUGUGAACCCCGUGAACUAUAACACAUCUUGAUUUUGAAAUAUUACAAAAAGGCAGAUAACACACAGUACCACACUGUUAUCAUUUCUUAAAGACUGAUGUAAAUGAAGUCCAAGAGAUGUUUUUUUUUUUUAUCCAUUAU